rnacentral:rRNA from 1 species
UCCCUAAAAGCCAUCCCAGUUCGGAUUGCAGGCUGAAACCCGCCUGUAUGAAGUUGGAAUCGCUAGUAAUCGCGGAUCAGCAUGCCGCGGUGAAUACGUUCCCGGGCCUUGUACACACCGCCCGUCACACCAUGAGAGUCGGGAACACCCGAAGUCCGUAGCCUAACCGCAAGGGGGGCGCGGCCGAAGGUGGGUUCAAUAAUUGGGGUGAAGUCGUAACAAGGUAAC